rnacentral:rRNA from 1 species
AAUAUUGGACAAUGGGGGCAACCCUGAUCCAGCCAUGCCGCGUGUGUGAAGAAGGUCUUCGGAUUGUAAAGCACUUUAAGUUGGGAGGAAGGGCUUUAGGUUAAUACCCUGAAGUUUUGACGUUACCAACAGAAUAAGCACCGGCUAACUCUGUGCCAGCAGCCGCGGUAAUACAGAGGGUACAAGCGUUAAUCGGAAUUACUGGGUGUAAAGGGCGUGUAGGUUGAUGAGUAAGAUGGGUGUGAAAGCCUGGGGCUAAACGGGAAAACUGCUUUUAAAACUGGUGGGAUAGAGUAAGGAAGAGGGGGGUAGAAUAUCCUGUGUAGCGGUGAAAUGCGUAGAUAGGAAAGAGAACACCAGUGGAGAAGGCGAAUACCUAGUCAUAUACUGACUGAGGUGCGAAAGCGUGGGGGGCAAA